rnacentral:lncRNA from 1 species
CUGGGUAUACUUUGCUACAGACGGAAUUCUGAUGAGGAUGUUCUUAGUUUUUCUUACAUAAUCUGCUUCUUUUCAAUAAGUCUGUCUGUGAUUACAGUGGCAGCCAACAAUACAUAGUGACUCAAUGAGCUACCACGCAGAUGACUCAUCAGAUCUGCUAAGGUGACUGCAAGGCCAUCAAGGGAACAAUAAGGAGAGCACGUGACAUUGGACUGUGAUGUUACUCUCCCUUUGACAUGCAGAAGUUUCGCAGAACCAGCUCUACCGAACCUUAUGUGAAUUCCCUGGGCUGCACACAACUCUGCACGAUCUGCAGAGGGGGCCUGGCAGUGCCUGCUUGGCUCUGAAGACAACAGCAAAAAGCUGACAUAGUUUUUAGACUGGCUAUUUCACGUUUAGAAGCUGGAAAGUCUUACAUGUUCAGCCCUAGUCCAGUUUUUUUCCAAUUUUUUUUCAGGUUAGUGCUAAAAUUCACUGAAAGUUAAAGCAAGAGUAAGUCCAAAAGGAAAAAAAUAUGUAUAUAUAUAUAUAUAUAUUCUAUGAAAUGAACUUCAUACAAAAAAAGUUACAGUGUAAUCCUGUCCAAUAGGCCAUUGCUGCUAGGCACAAGUUUAUACAUAGUCAUUGCCAUCGCAGGGUGUUUGUCUACAGAGUCCAUCCUUUCCUGCAACAGAAGGAAU